GUCGCGUUGGACUUCUGGUUGAGGUCAGCAUCCUUUCAAGGUGCGUAGGUCGGGUUCGAAUCCCACACGCGACACCA
rnacentral:tRNA from 1 species